rnacentral:tRNA from 1 species
GAGGGUAUAUCUCAGAGGCAGCGUAAGUGCUUAGCAUGCACGAGGUCCUGGGUUCAAUCCCCAGUACCUCCG